rnacentral:tRNA from 1 species
CAGAAAAUUAGUUUAAUUAAAACAUUAGUUUUGGGGACUAAAAAUCUUUGAUCAAGAUUUCUGA